CUCCCUCAAAUCUCUCGCUCACUCUCUUCACUUCAACUCGGUGAUUUUGAUUUCGUAGAGCAGCUUCCUUUUCAUAAAUCAAUACCUUGUCCCCUUCUCAUAAAUCAAUAUGUAGCUCGAUGAUUUCAAUUUCGAAGUUCUCUCUCUCUCAAUUUCAAAGCUCCACCGUCACCGCCAUCGCCAUUUGCAUCGUCUACUAAGGGUUUACAAUCUUGAAUCUCCUCCUAGGGUUUGCCCCUUCUAUUUCAAGCGAUUUCUUGAAAUGGCGGGUCACUUUCCCCAUGGCGGAGGUUCUCCAGGCGCCGGAGGCGAGCCUGACAUCAUGUCUUUGCAUCCGAGGGUUCGCCCCUUUAUACCUGAGAGGUACAAUCCUUCGACUCAUGUCCUCCCUCGGGCUAUUUUUUAUCACUUCACUGAUUUCGAUGAUCGAGCGCCUAGGGAUCUGCUUUUGCGAGAGCCAGAGUCUCACCUCUCUCAUGAGGAACGAGAGGUAUUUAUUUCACCCUUUUUUACAUUUCUGCAACGUAUUCCGCAUUUUUGU